rnacentral:rRNA from 1 species
UGAAUACGAGAUGCUACGGCGUCGAAGCAGUCUAUGUCAUACUUCCAAGAAAAGCUUGCACUGUCAUAAACAAAUAAUGCCUGUACCAUAACCGACACAGGUGGGUAGGUAGAGUAUACUAAGGGGCGCGAGAUAACUCUCUCUAAGGAACUCGGCAAAAUGACUCCGUAACUUCGGGAGAAGGAGUGCCUUAUUUAUAAGGUUGCAAUAACAAGAUCCAAGCAACUGUUUACCAAAAACACGGGUCUCCGCUAAGUCGUAAGACGAUGUAUGGGGGCUGACGCCUGCCCAGUGCCAGAAGGUUAAAGAAGUUGGUUAGCAUCCGCGAAGCUGAUAACUGAAGCCCUGGUGAACGGCGGCCGUAACUAUAACGGUCCUAAGGUAGCGAAAUCCCUUGUCGGGUAAGUUCCGACCCGCACGAAAGGCGUAAUGAUUUGGAUACUGUCUCGGAGAGGGGCUCGGUGAAAUAGACUUGUCUGUGAAGAUGCGGACUACCUGCACCAGGACAGAAAGACCCUAUGAAGCUUUACUGUAACCUGAAAUUGAAAUUGGACUUUACUUGCGCAGUAUAGGUGGGAGGCGUUGAGAAUAUUCUUGCGGGAUUAUUGGAGCCAUCAGUGAGAUACCACUCUUGUAAUGUUAGAUUUCUAACUUUGUAUCAUUAUCUGGUCAAAGAACAGUUUCAGGCGGGCAGUUUGACUGGGGCGGUCGCCUCCUAAACGGUAACGGAGGCGCACAAAGGUUUCCUCUGAACGGGUAGAAAUCGUAUCUAGAGUGUAAAGGCAUAAGGAAGCUUGACUGUGAGACCUACAAGUCGAGCAGGGACGAAAGUCGGUCUUAGUGAUCUGACGGUGCUGAGUGGAAAGGCCGUCACUCAACGGAUAAAAGUUACUCUAGGAUAACAGGCUGAUCUCCCCCAAGAGUUCACAUCGAUGGGGAGGUUUGGCACCUCGAUGUCGGCUCAUCGCAUCCUGGGGCGGUAGUACGUCCCAAGGGUUGGGCUGUUCGCCCAUGAAAGCGGUACGCGAGCUGGGUUCAGAACGUCGUGAGACAGUUCGGUCCAUAUCCGGUGUAGGCGUUAGAAUAUUGAGAGGAGCCUUCUUUAGUACGAGAGGACCGAGAAGGACAUACCUCUGGUGUACCAGUUAUCGUGCCAACGGUAAACGCUGGGUAGCUAUGUGUGGAGUGGAUAACCGCUGAAAGCAUCUAAGUGGGAAGCCCACCUCAAGGUAAGUA